AUUCGUCGCCAACGAGAAAUUGGGGUCGGCCCGAAAGCUCUAGAAUGCACCCCUCUUCCUCCCCGGGGCCUUCCACCUCCGCGAGUUUUAUGACUUAAAAAAGCCCACAGGCUGGUCUGAAGAGGAAGACAAACAUAAAGAUGAAGUGCUUAAUUCAAGGUCACACAAUGUCGGGGAUGGACCUCCAGAUUUCCUUACUGACCUGCAUUAUCUUGUGGAUACCUGAGUGAAUUCCACACCACCCAUUUUAUAGAUGAAACCACUGAGACAUGGAGCAAUUGACUGAGUAGUCACUGCCCCACCCCUGCCUGGAGCCUCACACAUGACUCGCCUCCUCUCAGUGACCACAGGAAAACAAGCUCAGGGCUCCCACUGAUUGUACAUUAUGAGACGGAGUCUUGCUAUGUUGCCCAGGCUGGUCUUGAACUCCUCACCUCAAGCGAUCCUCCCGUCUUGGCCUCCCAAGUGUCAGGAUUACGGGCAUGUGCUAUCACACCCAACCUGAUACAUUGCCUUUAUAAAUUUUUUUUUCUUUAUUCUAAAAACCAGAAAAAACAAAACUGGAUACAUGUGCAGAACAUGCAGGUUUGUUACAUAGCUGUACGUGUGCCAUGGUGGUUUGCUGCACCUAUUGACCUAUCCUGUAAGUUCCCUCCCCUCACCCCCACCCCCCAACAGCCCU
rnacentral:lncRNA from 1 species